CCUACGGGAGGCAGCAGUAAGGAAUAUUGGUCAAUGGAGGCAACUCUGAACCAGCCAUGCCGCGUGCAGGAUGACGGCCCUAUGGGUUGUAAACUGCUUUUAUACAAGAGAAAACCCUGGUACGUGUACCAGGUUGAUAGUAUUGUAAGAAUAAGCAUCGGCUAACUUCGUGCCAGCAGCCGCGGUAAGACGAAGGAUGCAAGCGUUAUCCGGAUUCAUUGGGUUUAAAGGGUGCGUAGGCGGACUGAUAAGUCAGUGGUGAAAUCUCUUUGCUUAACAAAGAAACUGCCAUUGAUACUGUCGGUCUAGAGUAUAGAUGACGUUGGCGGAAUAUGACAUGUAGUGGUGAAAUACUUAGAUAUGUCAUAGAACACCGAUUGCGAAGGCAGCUAACGAAACUAUAACUGACGCUGAGGCACGAAAGUGCGGGGGAUCAAACAGGAUUAGAUACCCUGGUAGUCCGCACCGUAAACGAUGAUUACUCGUUGUUGGCGAUAUGACAGUCAGNGACCAAGCGAAAGCGAUAAGUAAUCCACCUGGGAGUACGCCGGCGAACGGUGAACUUAAAGGAAUUGACGGNGNGAGACGNGCGAGGACGACGACGAGGGGAGGAGG
rnacentral:rRNA from 1 species